UACGUAGGUGGCAAGCGUUAUCCGGAAUUAUUGGGCGUAAAGAGCGCGCAGGUGGUUAAUUAAGUCUGAUGUGAAAGCCCACGGCUUAACCGUGGAGGGUCAUUGGAAACUGGCUGACUUGAGUGCAGAAGAGGGAAGUGGAAUUCCAUGUGUAGCGGUGAAAUGCGUAGAGAUAUGGAGGAACACCAGUGGCGAAGGCGGCUUACUGGACUGUAACUGACGUUGAGGCUCGAAAGCGUGGGGAGCAAACAGG
rnacentral:rRNA from 1 species